GUGUUCGCUUCGGCUUAGUUCACAUAAACUAAAGUGGGAACAAUACAGAGAAGAUUAGCAUGGCCCCUGCAAAAGGUUAACAGGCAAAUUCAUGAAGUGUUCCAUAUUUAA
ensembl:snRNA U6 U6 spliceosomal RNA